GAGGAGGAACCAACCCAAAUGUCCAUCCACUGAGGAAUGGGUGAAGAAAAUGUGGUAUAUGCCAGUAACAUGGGAUACAUAUAGACGUGUAUAUAGAAGAUAGAAUAUUAUUCAGCCAUCAAAAGGGACAAAAGCACCAAUCCAUACCAUAACGGGGUGAACCUCGAGACCAUCAUGCCGGAUGAAGGAAGCCAAACACAAAUGCCCACAUAUGGUGAGUCCAUUCACAGAAACUUCCAGACCAGUACGAAUCAAACCCAACCUUCUGCAAAGACUGAAAAUAUACAAUUGCCAGGGCAAUCCAGGAGGACGUCUUGGGAAAGGUGUCAUCUGAGAAUCCUUUAUUCCUUUAUCCAUUUAUGGAGAACUUCCAGAGAUGGAUGAGUGUCUCCGCCCUUCACUCGUUAGGCAUGGCUGUGGCGUAUGCCAAGGAUGAGCAGAUCACAGCACCUGGAUCCUCUCUUUAAUAGACGCUUGCACCAUUUCCAAUGUCUUGCCACUAUGCACGGAGCUGCUUGGAACCUUCUGGGGAGAGUCUCCCGGCCCAUGUGUGUGAGUGCGUGAAGUUUUCAAGAAUAACUAGAACAAGCUGGGAAUGCAGGACUCUGAGGGAAGACACUCCUAGAGCCCCAGGGAAUACUUGAAACCAUGGGAAGUGCUGAACCCGACACAUACAUACCUAUGACGUUGAAUUUAUAAAUGAGGCACAGAGAUUGAUAGUGAGUAAUGAAUUAAACCAAUCUUAACAGUACACAGUAAUAAAAGGCAUAUGAAUGUGGUCUGUCCUUUAAAACAUCUUAUACUGGACUCUUCUGUUUUUGAACUAUGGUUGACCAUGGCUAACAAACUGUGGACGGGGGGACGAUUGUAUUUGUGUGUGAGUGUGUGUUUACAAUCCUUUAAACAUGUAAAACCCUUUCUUAGUUUGUAGGGCACACAAAAAUAGUCUCUGGGUCAAAUUUGGCCCAGGGGACAGUUUGCCAAACCU